rnacentral:tRNA from 1 species
GGAGAGGUGACUGAGUGGUCUAAGGUGCGCGACUGGAAAUCGCGUGUAGGCUUGCGCCUACCGAGGGUUCGAAUCCCUCCCUCUCCGCCA